UACGGGGGGGGCAAGCGUUGUUCGGAAUUACUGGGCGUAAAGGGCUCGUAGGCGGCCAACUAAGUCCGACGUGAAAUCCCAAGGCUUAACCUUGGAACUGCGUCGGAUACUGGAUGGCUUGAAUUCGGGAGAGGGAUGCAGAAUUCCAGGUGUAGCGGUGAAAUGCGUAGAUAUUGGGAGGAACAUCGGUGGCGAAGGCGGCUACCUGGACGGGUACUGACGCUGAUGCGCGAAAGCUAGGGGAGCAAACAGG
rnacentral:rRNA from 1 species